UGCAGUCGAACGGCAGCACGGAGAGCUUGCUCUCUGGUGGCGAGUGGCGAACGGGUGAGUAAUAUAUCGGAACGUGUCCAAUAAUGGGGGAUAACGAGUCGAAAGAUUCGCUAAUACCGCAUACGCCCUACGGGGGAAAGCAGGGGAUCGUAAGACCUUGCGUUAAUGGAGCGGCCGAUAUCUGAUUAGCUUGUUGGUGAGGUAAAGGCUCACCAAGGCGACGAUCAGUAGCUGGUUUGAGAGAACGACCAGCCACACUGGAACUGAGACACGGUCCAGACUCCUACGGGAGGCAGCAGUGGGGAAUUUUGGACAAUGGGGGCAACCCUGAUCCAGCCAUUCCGCGUGAGUGAAGAAGGCCUUCGGGUUGUAAAGCUCUUUCGCAAGGGAAGAAAACUUAUGAUCGAAUAAAUCAUGAGGUUGACGGUACCUUGAUAAGAAGCACCGGCUAACUACGUGCCAGCAGCCGCGGUAAUACGUAGGGUGCGAGCGUUAAUCGGAAUUACUGGGCGUAAAGCGUGCGCAGGCGGUUUUGUAAGUCGGAUGUGAAAUCCCCGGGCUCAACCUGGGAACUGCGUUCGAAACUGCAAGGCUAGAGUGUGUCAGAGGGGGGUAGAAUUCCACGUGUAGCAGUGAAAUGCGUAGAGAUGUGGAGGAAUACCAAUGGCGAAGGCAGCCCCCUGGGAUAACACUGACGCUCAUGCACGAAAGCGUGGGGAGCAAACAGGAUUAGAUACCCUGGUAGUCCACGCCCUAAACGAUGUCAACUAGUUGUUGGUAGAGUAAAAUCUAUGAGUAACGUAGCUAACGCGUGAAGUUGACCGCCUGGGGAGUACGGUCGCAAGAUUAAAACUC
rnacentral:rRNA from 1 species